rnacentral:sRNA from 1 species
UGAUCCCAACCGUCGCUGCCUUGUUAGGA